GUGCCUGAGGUUUUGUCUCAACCUAAACAAAUACCCAAGGUGAGCAAAGUUUCAGGUGUAU
rnacentral:pre_miRNA from 1 species